UGAUAAGUGUUUAUCAGGGACUGUGAUCGGAUGAUUUCACGAUUCACACAGACACAAACCAGCAGCAUUAAACACACACACACACACACACACACACACACCAGAUUUAUUACAGUUUUUCUCACCUUCUUAAAAACAUUUCUUGACAUUUUUGCAAAACUCUAAACGCACAAAUCCAUAACUUCCCAAACUUCUCAUAUUCAAGUCAAAACUCUUCACUCAAUGAAAACUUGCUGAAAACACACAUACACACACUGUCUUACACACUGAUGAGAUCAAUCCAAAACAAUACUACAAAAAACAAUGAUUAGUGUUGCUUAUGUUCACUAUUUUAAAAUGGAACAAAAAAUUUAUAUUUGCAGAAAGGCAGAAAGUGCACCUGUAAUGAAUUUUCUCUUGUGUUGAUCUAUAUAUGUUUAUAUAUGCUUUCCAUUUAAAGGUUCAUCAAGCACUUUUGAGCUAUUUCAGAGAACUGGUUUGUCAUUGGUUGAUCUUGAACAAUUCAUGGUAAAUUAACACAGAACGAUAUGGUAAGGAGCACAAGAUUACGAGAAGAAGAUUACAGAAUAAAAUGAAUUGUCCACAAAGAGGCAAUCCAACAAGUGGGGUAGCGACACACACACACACACACACACACACACACACACACACACACACACACACACACACACACACACACACACACACACACACACACACACACACACACACACACACACACACACACACACACACACACUAACGGGAACUUAUAUGAGGAAGGUAAUGAUGCUAAUUAAACGAGACACACCUGAACAUAAUGAACACAUCAAGGGCAGACAGAACAAAAUAACAUGGGAGAGGCAGGUUUUUUCAUUUGCUUUGGUGCAUUUCUUGAAUAAUCAGUACUGUACCCGGAAAAAAAUCGAGGUUGACCGUAUCCAGGAUGUGCUUGUGUGCUGUCUCCGUGGUAACAGCUGCAUCACUGAUGCUGGACAGAUAACAUUCACUCAAGCAUCCUAAAACAGACGCAGUUCUUCCUCAUCUUUCAUAAUAACAGUGCUGUAAUGAGGGCGGUGUCCAGCAGGGGUCCCUGUUUCACAUCAUUCAGGUGUGAGGCGCUGAGAGAGAGAGUUUUAGCCUGAAUACGGUGCUCCCGACAGAUGUCAGUGAUGAGACACACAGCAGAAGCGGACGGGGAUCAGCCAAUCAGAGCGGGUCUGGUGAAGGCCGUGUGUGAGCUUACAGGAGCGUCACAGCAUCAUUACCGGACAGAUGCUGCAUCAGCAGGAGGCUUCACGUGUUUAUCUGAAAGUCAGUCGCAGCAGGACUCGGGAAGAGUUUCUCAGCCUCCGCUCGUCGUCUCAAGGUCUCAACCAUUAAAGACUUCAGCAAGAUCUUCUCACCAUGCGUUUGUGUUCUUUUGUUUCGUAACCAGCAUCUAAAGAUUAAUUCCAUCUGUGAGGGAAACUGCUGACAGAUGGACAGAUUAUGUGGAUUAAUGCAAUUAGAGGUGAAAUUAAUUAGUAAUGAGCAAACACUAUAUUACUAAACAACAGUGCUGCAGAAAAUGUAGUAUUUAUGCUGGAUCUGAAGGGUAGUGUGUGUGUGUGUGCUGUUUUCAUCUCAAAUAAUGAAAUUAUCUAUAGAAAUAAUUUUAGUACGGUAUUUUUUUCAAGCAAAUAAUGUAUUUUUCUCAGUAUUCUAAUGUGUACAUUGACCUCUUUAUGAAUUUUUAUACUGAAUUCACCAAAAGAGUAUUUAGUUUCUCAUCAUACUGUCAGAGUCACACAGUUAGCAUGAUUUCUGUGUGAUGAGAAACCUUCUGUUUCCAGGAUGACGAAUGACCUUCAAACUGUGACCACUCAUAGUUUUAAAGUGCUUCCUGAGGUUUU